rnacentral:lncRNA from 1 species
GGAUCGCCGGAAAAACAAGCACAAACCCGAAACAGCAGCCAAAAAGGCUGAAACGGAGCGACAUCGCCAAAACAGCGGAACGGGGCCUUCCCGACAGAAACCAAGGUGAGCACGAUGAUCAGCAACUUGCCAGGAUCAUCGUGCUCCCUUCCGUAGAGGUCGGGGAGGCUCGAAAAGCCCAGAACAACAAACACCCCAAACAAAGUCCUAUUUCGGGCUUGGCCGGAGCAACCUUGCUCCGGCCGGCUUCCGGCGGCACGG